rnacentral:rRNA from 1 species
CGAAUGGGGCAAGCGUUGUUCGGAAUCACUGGGCUUAAAGCGUAUGCAGGCGGACUCGCAAGUCAGAAGUGAAAUCCCCGGGCUUAACCCGGGAAUUGCUUUUGAAACUGCAAGUCUAGAAUCCCGGAGAGGUUAGUAGAAUUCCGAGUGUAGAGGUGAAAUUCGCAGAUAUUCGGAGGAAUACCAGUGGCGCAAGCGACUAACUGGACGGGCAUUGACGCUCAGAUACGAAAGCGUGGGUAGCAAACUGGAUUAGAUACCCUGGUAGUCCACGCCAUAAACGAUGUGUGCUAGUUGUCGGGGCCUUCGGUCUCGGUGACGCAGCGAAAGCGGUAAGCACACCGCCUGGGGAGUACGGUCGCAAGAUUA